rfam:Nematostella vectensis strain CH2 x CH6 NEMVEscaffold_84_Cont11316, whole genome shotgun sequence.
ACAACGGUUCUUUUAAGAGCCACACACUUAUACGAAAGUCAUGCC